GGUGAUUUACUAAGUACAAGGAUAGAAACAAUGAUAUAAGCCAUGCCUAAUCUACACAGCUGUUGAAGGAUCCAUUUCUAAAGCUUGAUGAUAAAUGAAGUAGGUGCUGGUCCUGCACUGUUCACAAACCUUCAACAGCCCUGGAUAAACAAUGAGGUGCCAUUAGACAGACGGGUGUUGGCAUGGAUUUUGGCUUCAGCGGCUAAGGAACUGGGAUUCAAACCUGUUUU